AUGGUGGUGGUGGCAGCCGCGCCGAGCCCCUAAAGUACUGCUUCUGUCGGGGCAGCCCGCCUCUACUGACGGAGCCCCAGCCGGCCAGGCCCUGCCGCUCAUGGUGCCCGCCCAGAGAGGGGCCAGCCCGGAGGCGGCGAGCGGGGGACCGCCCCAGGCGUGCAAGCGACAAUGCCUCACGCACCUGAGCCCCAUGCACCGGAGCCCCGAGGAGAAGGCGCUGAGGAGGAAACUGAAAAACAGAGUAGCAGCUCAGACUGCCAGAGAUCGAAAGAAAGCUCGAAUGAGUGAGCUGGAACAGCAAGUGGUAGAUUUAGAAGAGAACCAAAAACUUUUGCUAGAAAAUCAGCUUUUACGAGAAAAAACUCACGGCCUUGUAGUUGAGAAUCCGGAGUUAAGACAGCGUUUGGGGAUGGAUGCCCUGGUUGCUGAAGAGGAGGCGGAAGCUAAGGGGAAUGGAGUGAGGCCAGUGACUGGGUCUGCUGAGUCCACAGCAUUCAGACUAGUGCACCCCUGCAGCAGGUGCAGGCCCAGUUGUCACCCCUCCAGAACAUCUCCCCAUGGAUUCUGGCGGUAUUGACUCUUCAGAUUCAGAGUCUGAUAUCCUGUUGGGCAUUCUGGACAACUUGGACCCAGUCAUGUUCUUCAAAUGCCCUUCCCAGAGCCUGCCAGCCUGGAGGGGCUCCCAGAGGUCAACCCAGAAGGACCCAGUUCCUUAUCAGCCUCCCUUUCUCUGUCAUUGGGGACGUCAUCAGCCAAGCUGUAAGCCAUUAAUGAACUAAUUCACUUUGACCACAUAUAUACCAAGCCCCUAGUCUUAGAGAUACCCUCUGAGACAGAGUGCCAAGCUAAUGUGAUAGUGAAAAUUGAGAAAGCACCUCUCAGACCCUCAGAGAAAGAUCACCCCGAAUUCAUUGUCUCAGUGAAGGAAGAACCUGUAGAAGAUGACCUCGUACCAGAGCUGGGUAUCUCAAAUCUGCUUUCAUCCAGCCACUGCCCGAAGCCAUCUUCCUGCCUACUGGAUGCUUACAGUGACUGUGGAUAUAGGGGCUCCCUUUCUCCCUUCAAUGACAUGUCCUCUCCGCUUAUAAACCAUUCUUGGGAGGACCCUUUUGCCAAUGAACUCUUUCCCCAGUUGAUUAGUGUCUAAGGAAUGAUCCAAUACUGUUGCUCUUUUUUCCUUGACUAUUAUACUGGCCGGAGGAUAGCAGAGAAGCCUGUUGUGCUUCAUUCAGAAAGCCAAAAUAGAGUAUAGAGUCCUAGAGAAUUCCUCUAAAGUAUUUGUUCAAACCUCAUAGAUGACCCCCAGGUGUUGUCUUUUGACAUCCAGCAGUCCAAGGUAUUGAGAUACAUAACUGUAAUUGAGAACUACAGCUUUUUUAAAGAUUGUACUUUUAUCUUAAGGGUGGUAGUUUGCCCUAAAAUAUAUAUUACGUAUAAAAUACUUAUUAUGUAUGUCUUGAAGUAGACAUGGAAUUUAUUAAUGGUUCUUUACCAUGUCUCUUCCCCCUUUUUGGCAUCCAGGCUUGUCUCCAGUUUUAGGUCCUUUAGUUUGCUUCUGUAAGCAAAGAACCACCCACCUGAGGGGGGCUCUUUCCCUCAUGUAUACUUCAAGUAAGAUCAAAAACCUUUUGUGAAAUUAUAGAAAUUUACCAUGUAAAUGCUUAACGGAAUUUUUUCCUGCUAGUAUAGAUUCUGAAAGGUGCUUUCUCCAUUUAUUUAAAACUACCCAGGCAAUUAAAAGGUACAAUGCAAAAAAAAAAAAAAAAAAA